UCGAGGAUCUUCGGCAAUGGGCGCAAGCCUGACCGAGCGACGCCGCGUGCGGGAUGAAGGCCUUCGGGUUGUAAACCGCUGUCAGUGGGGAGGAAAUGCGCGGGGGUUCUCCCCCGUGUUUGACCUAUCCGCAGAGGAAGUACGGGCUAAGUUCGUGCCAGCAGCCGCGGUAAGACGAACCGUACGAACGUUAUUCGGAAUUACUGGGCUUAAAGGGUGCGUAGGCUGUGCAGAAAGUUGGGUGUGAAAUCCCUCGGCUCAACCGAGGAAGUGCGCCCAAAACUACUGUGCUUGAGGGAGACAGAGGUGAGCGGAACUUAGGGUGGAGCGGUGAAAUGCGUUGAUAUCCUAAGGAACACCGGUGGCGAAAGCGGCUCACUGGGUCUCUUCUGACGCUGAUGCACGAAAGCUAGGGUAGCGAACGGG
rnacentral:rRNA from 1 species